UGCACACGUGUGUACAUGACUGCAGGUGGGCCCAUGUGAGGCCUUCCCUAGAAUCCCUAGCAUGUAGGCUGAGGUCAGUUCCUCUGUGACCUUAGGACAUUUCUCGUAAACUGCAAGACUGAUGUACCCAGUUAUUAGCUGUUUGACCUUCAGCAAGUUAUUUACCCUCCAGCCAUCUGUUCCAUCAUCUGUGAAGUUGGGACAGUAAAAGAACUUCAAUAAGAUGCUUGUGAGGAUGAGCAAAGCCAAUGCCUAACACAUGACUGGUGUUUACUCACUGUCUCCUCACCCACUCCCCACCCCCUCCUGCCCGUGUCCCAUCCACACAUGUAACCCCAGCCAGGCACUUCGGAGCUGCCCUUCUCCCUCCCCUGUUAGGCCAGGUCUGUAAAGUGCCUUUGGCAGUCUGGAACUAAAAAAGUCUAAUGAAUAAACCGAUAAUUGAACCUAUACUGGAAGUUCUAACUUCUGAGUUUAUUCCUUAAGAUUGGAAAGAAAAUAGAGAUCAUAAUUAAUUCUGUUAGCAUUUUUACCACCUGUUUCACCAGGAGCUGUCUUUUUCUGGUCUUUGUAUAACACCAAGGGUCUGAGGAACUUGCCUGAGAGCAGCCAUGAGCUAGACUGGAACACGUGCCUGUCUCAGGUCAGCCAUUAUAUCUGAGCUGCCUGAGACGACAGAGAGGCAGGAGGAAAUCCCCCAGUGAGUUCACCAACCACCAAGCAGAGGAAGGAGGGCACCCAUUUCAGAGAGGAGAAAGAACUGCCUGCACUGAGAUUCUAAAAUCUAGGUCAAGGAGGAGAUGGUUAAGAGGACACACACUGUGUUUGCAACUCACGGAUUUCCUGGAAUCACAGGGGUUUCCCUUCCUUAGUGCUUGGCACGCUGGGAAAGCCCCACGGCCACACCAUGGAGUUUUGUACAUGGGAUGCUCUGCCCAAGUUGUGCCUGACCAUGUGUGUGGUGUCAGGCUUCAGCUGAAAACAUCAAGUGAUUUUUGCACAGCCACUCAUGACCCAUUUGUCCCUUAAGUCCCUGCAUUGGGUGUCAUCUUGUGUGCCACCUGGCAAACGAAGACCUUGCAUGUAAUGUGUCUACAGCCUGCUCAGAACUGCUGCUGCCCAAGGAGCAAACACAUCUCAGUCCUAGGCAGUUGCUGAAUAACGUGAGCUGCUGACAGGGCCACUUUUGGGGUUCUUGUGAUGGUCUUGUUCCCAUGCCCCUUUCUUACAAGAUCUCAAUCCUGAAGGCAUCAAAGGCUGGCAUUGAGAGUUGGGCACAAGUAGUCUCAAUUAGAGUUGAUCUCAAUGCGCAUCCAGCUGGGAGGAAUUCUAGAAAAGAGAAUGUCAGGUGAGUCAAUGGUUCGCAUUUCUUGGCUGUCUGUCCAAGUCCACUCUGAGGCAGUGCUCACGGCGAGGCUGAGCGUCACACGUAACGUUUCCCUUCUCUCUAUUUUUCCACUCUGCUGUUGACUUUGAGUUCAUCUGGCCUGUUCUUUGGCUUUCAGUCUCCAUGAAUUUGACUACUUUAAAUGCAUCAUAUAAGUGGAUCAUACAAUAUUUGUCUUUUUGUAACUGGCUUCAAAAGGGUUCAUCUAUGUUGUUUACAUGUGUCAGAACUUCCUUUUGAAAGGCUGAAUAAUACUCUCAUAUAUUUAUACAUCAUUUUAUUUUUCCAUUCAGCUGCUGGACUCGAGCUGCUUCCAUCGCUUGACCGUUAUGAAUAGUGCUGCUGUGUGCGUGUGUGACUAUCGAGACUCUGCUCUCGAUUCUUUUGGAAUACACUCAGAAGUGUGAUUGCUGGAUUAUCUGGUAGUAGUACUUUUUAAUUUUUUGAGGAACCUCCAUAUUGUUUUGCACAGUAGUUGCUCCAUUUUCACACUUCUCUUAACAGUGCACAGUUCCAAUUUCUCCACAUCCUAAUCAACACUUGGUUUGUUUUUGUUUUUGAUAGUGGCCAUCCUAAUGGAUGAGGUGAUAUCUCAUUAUGGUUUUGAUUUGCAUUUCUUGAUUAUUAGUGAUGUUGAGCAUCCAUUCAUCUGCUUAAUGGCAUUUGUACAUCUUCUUUGAAGAAACGUUUAUUCUAGUCCUUUGUCCGUAUUUUAAUUGGGUGGUAUUUUUGUUGUUGAGUUGUAGGAGUUUUUUAUAUAUUCUGGAUAUAACCCCUUAUCAAAUAUAUAAUUUGCAAAUGUAUUUUCCCAUUCUAUAAGUUGUCUUUUCACUGUUGUUUUUUGAUGCACGAGAAGUUUUCACUUUUGAUGUAGUCCAUCUGAUCUGUUUUUUUUUGGUUGCCUGUGCUUUUGGUGUCAUAUCCAAGAAAUCAUUGCCAAAUCUACUGUCGUGAAGCUUUUCCACAGUGUUUUCUUCUAAGAGUUUUAUGGUUUUAGGUCUUAUGUUUAUGGCUUUGAUUCCUUUUGUUUUUGUAUAUCACAUAAGGUAAAGGUCUGCUGUGGACUGAAUGUUUGUCCCCUCUCUACAACUGAUAUGUUUAAGUCUUUGGAUUUAGUAGGUGGAGCUUUUGGGGAGUGCUUAAGUCAGAGCCCUCAUGAAUGGAGUUGGUGCUCUUAUAAAAGAGACUUCGGAGAGAUCCCAUGCCUUUCCACCAGGUGAGGACACAGCAAGAAGGCACCAGCUUAUGAACUAGGAAGAGGGCUCUCACCAGAAGGUUGUCAUCCUGGCACCUUGAUGUUGGACUUCCCAGCCUCCAGAACUGUGAGAAACAUUUCUGUUAUUUGUAAAUAGGUACCCAGGCAAUGGUAUUUUGUUAUAGCAGCCUAAACAGACUAAGUCCAUCUUUAUUCUUUUGUAUGUGGAUAUUCAGUUUUCCCAACACUGUAAUAAGUUUCGAAAUCAAGUAUAAUACCUCUAACUUUGUUCUUUUUUCAAGGUUAUUUUAGCUCAUCAGGAGUCCUUGAGAGUCCAUAUGAAUGUUAGGAUGGAUGUUUCUAUUCAAAAAAUGCCAUUGGGAUUUGGAAAGAGAUUGUGUUAAAUCUGUAGAUCACCUUGGAUGGUAUUGACAUCUUAACAGUAUUAUCUUUCAGUCCACGAACACAGAACGUCCUUCCAUUUAUUUGUGUCUUGUUUAAUUUCUUUCACUACUGUUUUGUAGUUUUUAGUGUACACGUCUUUUGCCUCCUUGUUAAAUUUAUUCAUAAGUAUUAUAUUCUUUUUGAUGUUAUUGUAAGUGGAACUGUUUUCCUAAAUUCCUUUUCAGAUAGUUUGUUAGUAUAUAAAAACAUCUGAUUUUUGUGUGUUGAUUUUGUAUUUUCCAGCUUUGCUGAAUUCAUUUAUUAGUUCUAACAGUGUGUGUGUAUUAUCUUUUAGGGCUUUCACAUAUCAGAUCUUGCUGUCUGUGAACAGAGAUCAUUUUACUUCUUCCUUUUCUAUUUGGAUGCCUUUUAUUUCUUUUUCUUGACUUACUGUUCUGGCUAGGACUUACAGUAUUUUGUUCAAUAGAAUUGGUGACAGCAGGCAUCCUGAUCUUUGAGGAAAAGCUUUCAGUCUUUCACCAUUGAGUAUGUUAGCUGUGGGCUUUUCAUACAUGGCCUUCAUUUUGUUGAAGUAGUUCCCUUCUAUUCCUAGUUUGUUGAGUGUUUUUAUUGUGAAAAAGGGUAUUGAAUUUUGUCAGAUGCUUGCUCUAUAUCAAUUGAUAUGACCAUAUGGGUGUUUUUCCUGUCAUUUUAUAAACAUGGUGUAUUACCUUGAUUUUCUUAUGGUGAACUAUUCUUGCAUUCCAAGAAUAAAUCCCAAUUGGUCAUAUAUAAUAAUCCUUUUAAUGUGCUAAUGAAUUGUUUGCUAGUAUUUUGUUGACUAUUUUGUUGAGGAUUUCCUCUUGCUGCUUUUAAGUUUCUCUGUCUUUGAUUUUCAACAGUUGGGUCUCUUUGGAUAUAGUAUCCUGCUCAGUGUUUUUUGAGACUCUUUUAUUUUAAAAUAGGCUCUCUGUCCUCUUUCUCCUCUUCCUGGUACUCCCACUUUUUUGUACAUAUAUUGGUCCACUUAAUGGUGUCCCAUAAAUCCUUUAGACGUGUUCACUUUCUUCAUUCUUUUUUCUUUUUCCUCAUCUGACUCAAUAAUUUGAAAUGAUCUGUCUUCAAGUUCAGAUUCUUUCUUCUGCCUGAUCAGGUCUGAUGUUGAACCCCUGUGGUGAAUUUUUCAAUUCAGUUAUGGUAUUUUUGAGCUCCAGAAUUUGUUUGGUUCUUUUUAAUAAUUUGUAUCCCUGUGAGGAUUCUCAUUUUUAAAAAAUUGUUUUCCUUGAUUUUGUUUAGUUGUCUGCCCCUGUUCUCAUUUAGCUCACUGAGCAUAUAUAGAAAACUUGUUUUAAAUUCUUUCUCAAUUCAGAGGUCUGUGUUUUGUCAAGAUUGGUUUUGGGAGAUUCUUCAGAAUGAACGAUGGUUAGUUGUUUCUUUGUAUGUCUGGUGAUCUUCUGUUGAGAUUUGGGCACCGGAAACAACAGCCCCCCUCCCCCAGUCUUUACUGACUGGCUCCAGGCAGGGGAGGCUGGUUAUCAGCCCAUUUUUCAGGCUCAAAGGUGUGCAUCUUCCCUGGGACUGUGUGUGUGCUUUUAUUCCAGUUCCCCAUAAAUUCAGCUGCUUUUAAAUGUCUUUAUUUCCGUAAGAAUCUCAAUCCUGCUUGUUUUCAGAAGCCUUGAAUUUCUAUGGUAGUCCUCUGUCACCUCUUUCCCGCAGGCACCCCGGGUCUGUGGACCACCAGCAAUUCCGACAUGCCGCACGCUCCAGCCUGGCCCCCAAACCCACUGGCGUUCCCAUCACCGCUCCAUCCGGGGGACACUUACCAGCCCACCAGCCGUUUUGAGCAGGGCUUUUUCUUGUGUGGGCAUUCACGUGAUGGUUACAGCUUCUUAACUUGGUUUCUAGCGCUCUAGAGCUCUCUGUCUUAGUCCAUAUAUUGUUUAUUUGGUGUUUCUGUCGGGGACCAAAGGCCUGGAGCUUCUCAGUCAGCUAUCUUAUGCUGAUGUUACCUAAUAUUUCUUGCUUAAAAUAUGUUCUUUUGUUUUAUAUUACUGUUAUGAAAUUACUGGCAUAAAGAAAGUGAAAUCCAAACAGGAUAGGCUGACAUAAAAAAUGUCUCUUAUCCACUUCUAGCACACCAUUCGUACUUCGAAGGAUAACUCCUUAUAGCUAUUUGCAGUUAGAACUCUCCAAAGGUUAUUACCGCCUUAAUUCUGAAUAAUGUAGAUGUACUUUCAUUGUUUGAUUCACCAGUUUUGAAUUGUUCAAAUGACUUAAUACAACAGAAGAUGAGGCUUGUAAUACACUUGUCUUUCCUUCCAGUCAUGGUUAACGUUUUUACAUUUGUUUACAUUUUUAUAACUUAAAAGGAUGUUUAACAUGCAUAUAUAUAGACAGAACUUGAUGAAUUCCAGUAUGUACAUAAAGGAGAUAAGCACUCAGACUCUCCUCCAUUUCUUUUCUGCUACGCUGUAUUCUGAAUUGUCAAGUUUUCUAAAAUUUACAUUCUGUUCUGACUAUAAUUCUUUCAUGCUUUGAUUUUGAUUUGAAUGUUGUAAUUAUGUACAAGCAAAUAUUGCAAUUCACUAUAUAAGCAAAAUGUUAUAAACUCUUAAAGAAAUAUAAUUAUUCAUCACUGAAACUGCCUCUCAAAAAUUUUUUUCUUAAAUUUCAUUCAAAACAUCUUAUGUGUAUCGCUGACCCUGUUCUAGGAGUUUGGGUUACAUCCAUCACUCAGUCAAAAACAUGUCAUGUCUUUGGACAUGUUAUUGGUUUGUACUAGGAUAGCUAGAGUUGCCUUUUUGCUUGACAUUUAAAACAUGUUUAGUCACCAAAUUACUAAGAUCUUCUCAGUUUCAGCAUCACCAUCUCAGCGUGAUGACAUUGUAAACUGCAGUUCCUCUUCCAUCUCCGAGCUAUUUGUUCAGAGCAUUCAUCGUUUGCUAAUCUUAUUCUAGGCUUAGUGUCUCUGUCUCCUUCCCAUCUCAGCACUAGAAUGAAAGCUCCUGGGAGGGCAGAGUAGUUCUGUUCACUGCAGAACCCCCAGUACCUAAGAGUGGGCACAUCAUGCUCGCAUAGAAAAAAGAAAAAAAUUUGAAUGCCUGAAUCUUCUAGCUAUUAAGUGGUACCCAUUUAAUUAUGCGUCAUAUAACCGAUUUUCCUAAAAUCUCAUGGUUUGUUCUAAUUUGGAUAGAUUACUUUCUAGGUCUGCUUCAGACCUAGAAAUCCUGAGAUUUCUUUUAAUUACAUUAGAUUUGUUCUACUCGUCUUUACAGAGCAUAUUUUCAAGUGUUUUCAGGCAGCAUGUUUAUAAAGUUCUUGAUUCCUUGCUAGUCUGAUCUUUAUUUCACCAUCUCACUUCAUUGAGAGUUCAGCUGUAGAUAGCUCAAAAUAACUUCUCUCAGAAGUUUGAGGGGAGUGCUCUGUUACAUGCUAGACCUCACUGUUGCUGAGAAAUCUAGUAAAUCCUCAGGAGGAGGGCUAAUUGGAGAAGUAACAUAAUUUCCCACAGCUAAGUAAAUGGGUCUGCAGAACAAAAAGGUUGACUGAGGACUGUGAAGUGUGAAAGUAUAAACGCAAAAACUGUUUUUUGAAAUUCUAAAUCAUGAGGAAUGAAGAGAUCAUUCCUUUUUGAAAUUCUCUUCAGAGCAUCAUCCUUGCUUUCUUUUUGUAAAAGAAACUUAUUUCAUAAGUUUUAGCAAAUUCCUGUUAAUCACAGUUUGGACCACUGGAAUCCUCCAUUUCCUUUAACUUCUCAUCCCUCAUAUGACUAACCAGAGUGACUUUUUUCUAAUGUUUACCUGUCACAUUAGUUUCCUUUAGGAAUAUCAGCCUUCUGGGAAGAGGGCGUGAGAAAGGACUGCGGCCAUGGCUCUGCUGUACACAAGGUGGAUGUGGCUGCAUCUGCAGAUGACGACCCAGUCACUCGUUUCCUGUACCUCUAUGCUGUGGUCUGAAUGUUUCAGUCCCCCCAACCCCGAAAUUCAUGUUGACAUCCUAACUAACUCCCAAAGGUGAUGGUAUUAGGAGGUGAGGCCUCGUGAGGGUGUAACUCUCAUGAAUGGAAUCAGCACCUUAGGAGAAAGCCUCCAGAGAGCUCCCCAGCCCCUUCUAGCAUGUGAAGAUAUGAGGCGUAGGACCCAAGAAAGGGCCCUCACCUGACCAUGCUGGCACCCUCUGAAACUGUGAGGAAAUAACUUUUUCUGUUGUUUACAGGCUUCCCAGUCUGGGGUAUUUUGUUAUAACAGCCCCAAAGGACCAAAACACUUUCCAAGCUGCAAAAAUCAGAGACUUUGUGUGGCAGUUCUCAUGAUACAGCCAAACCUACCUGACCCAGUCCCAGUAUUUGACCAAGCUGACAGGUUGUAUUUGGUGAGUACACAGAUCUUUGUUCUAAACCAGGAUUUCUCAGUUGUGGCACCAUGACACUGGGGCUGUCCCAUGUGCCACAGAUAUAGAGCAACCUACCUGAUUUCCACACCUACCAUUUGUCAGCACCCCUUCCUCCAGUUGUGACUAUCAGACUGUCUCCACACUUUGCCAGGUGUUCUCUGGGGAACCACUGUCCUACACUAUUUUAGGGAGCAAACUCUAACCUGCCCAGACUUUCUGGGAUGAUGGAAAUGUUCAGUAACUAUCUAACAUGGUAGCUGAUCGCUACACAAAGCUAUUAAGCACCUGAAAUGUGGCUAAGGAAUAGAAUUCUUUAAAUCCUACAAGUACUGUGAGGAUAAAAUGCUUCAGUACGGAAAGCUGAAUAGGUGUUUGAUUCCUUUGUUAAACAUCAUGUGAUGUUGACAGGUAAGUCCCAUUUCCAAUAUUUAGGGUUCACUCUGACCAGGCAUUUGUUAAAUUGUACAGUGAAGUUUACCAGUUUAGAAAUUUAAAUUCUCUUUU